GACCUGCGCCGAGCAGACGGCACGGAAGUGCGUGCCGUCUUGACGGCAUGCCCGGUGUUAGCCGGCAAGCAAGUGACGAAAGAGUAGGUUGCCUGGAGACGAUGGGGUGAUUGUUCGCUUGGCUUAAUCGCCCUCGACAAUUAUUUUAUCCGCGGUUUUAGUGCAGGCGGCGGACCGGAAGAGCGCGGUUUUUAACGACGCGGCGCAUAGUUCCACUCCUGACUCCACGAGCAGCGUGCUUAGCCGUGUUGGUUCUACGCAAGAGGAACUCAACGGUGGCGGCGCUAGCACGGUUCGACGACGGUGGUGGCGGCGGCGUAGCUUAGGUUGCCUCGACGGCGGCACCGAAACGAACAGCUCGUCGGCGGUGGCGCAGCGGGCAGCUCGUCGGCGGCGGCGGCGGCUUAGGUUGUUUCAACGUUAGCGUCGCAGCGGCAGUCGAAGGCGGCGACACAGUGUAGGUUGUUUCGACCGAGGUUUGACGCGCAUGUGCAACGCUAGAUUCCGCUCCUCAGUGCAAGCUAGCGGUAUCUUGAAACCAAAAAUAACGGUGAAUCAGUUAACCACCUCGGUAGGGUGUAGACAAAAGGUUACCUUUCGUGUUUGCUCCCUCUAGUGGUCCUAUUACCGUCAGACUUAUGUAGCUCACGGUAUGGUUCAACCCAUGGUGUCUACCCGUACUUUAAGCCGUGACAGCUACUUCGUACCUGUAAGACCCAAUGAAUACCCCCGUUUCAACCUAAACCAUGAUCUUUCGCUAUGGAGUUGGGUUCAUUCAAACUAGCCUGUUAGUGCAGCACGUCUAAACAAACAGCGUUCCUUCCGGUAGCUCCUUUUCUGUUUUCUCUAUUCGUAUAAUUCCUUGGAGCUCGACUCUAAGCUUGGCCAACAGAUCGAGCGUACCCAGAGUGUUAUUUGUCUCUUCGCCCUUUAAUACUUCAUUGGCUAGAACAAGAUCUCGUGUUGGUGUAAUACGUCAACGUUCUUUGUACGGUGAAAGACGGUAGUGUCGCUUUCUAUAGACUUUAAGUUCGAAAACUCUAACUUUAACGUCUACUAAGUCCAUAACCCGGUUUUCGACGCAUACUCACACGAUCAGCAGCUCAACCACCUGGUAGACAAGAACCGAUAUAUGCAUCCCUAGUGUUUUUAGUGGAUGCAUGAUUCGCGGUUUCCCUUGAUUACAUACCACUUCGACCCUCAUACAAUUUUAUGAAAGUCCUAUUUCAGCGGGUUUUGGGUAGCAAGGUUAUACGGUAUGUCGAUCUGUUACUUCUUGUCUAGUGUUUAUAUAAAACCCGACUACGUUUUUACAAUUAACUAAUACGAGUAAAACCACUACACCAAUGAAAACUGUGUUGUAAACCUUGGUUGUUCCUUGAAUCCGGUAAACCACAUAAGCAACCCAAGUUAGUUAAGUCUGUUUGACAAUAUAAACCACGAACGGAAAAUAUAUCACUUUGUAUACUCCGAAAGUUUACCGAUAAACUUUGAAAAGAGAAACGUGUAUUAGUCUUCGUAGGUUCUUGAUAUAUAUGUCUAGUUCUACAACGUUACCCUUUACGCCAACUCCUACAUAAAAAUUACCGUGCCGUACCAAAUACGUGCAAAGUGUAUUACGUCUUACGGUAGUUUGUAAAUAGAACAGUAUUCUUCCUCCUCCUCCUCCGCCUCCUCCUCCAACUUCCCCUCCCCCUCCCCCUCCUCCUCCUCCUCCUCCUACUUGGUGUAUAAGAACGUCUGAAGUCACGAACGUACAUACUCAUGGCUCUGUUCCUUUGUAAACUCCUUCGAAAACUGUGGUACGCUCCAUUUUAUCUUUUUGUUUGAACCGAACUAUCGUAGAUAUUCCAUUUUCUCUUCACCCGACUUACAAAAUACUACCUACGAAAGUGGAACCCUUACGCUUCGUGUGUUGAUUCACUCUCGGAUUUAUUACUGGAGUUCUUGGUGAAUUUUCGUCUAGAACUGUAAGAAGCAAAAAAGUUUGUAAAACUUUCCCGGCACGUUCACUUUGCACUACGACUCAACUUAAGUCUCAUACUCAGAUCCCUCAAUAAUGGAUCCCAGUUUUACUUACAAGGGUACAACUAGGUCCGUUCGUUCCAGAUGUCAGGAUAGUAUAAACUUUCAAAAGUUCGUCUUAAACUCUCUAGGUAACGUAGUAAGUGGUUUGUUGAUCUACACCCGAUACUUAAACGGUAUUGUUAGUCGAGGCUUCUACUUACGUUUCAAUAACCCUUAGGAAAACUUGUUUGUCGAAGGACGUCGACACCGGUCAAACUCUCUUAGCCAUAUAACACACGGGUACGAUAUUUUCAAGAACUAAACUACUUGUAAUUCAAUAACGGUCUUGUAAUAUAAGACUUCUCUACCUGAUCUCUUCGUGCCACACCUUGAUAAGUCCUGUCUUCACCCUCCUUACAACAACUCUUGGGUUACAAGCUAUAACUAGUCGCGAUGUUUAGAGAGUUAGCGUUCAAAUACUUAAACCGGUGGGUUCAUCGAGGGAGGCUUCUUACAACAUGAGACGAACUUUCACGUGAACUAUCGGAAUGAUUCCUUAAAGAUCCGGCUUACUUUUUACGGGUAGUUUCAUUGGUGUACCUCCCUACAAGGUGGGUUCACCAUGUACUUCUUAGUUUACUCGUGAAUCGACGACGUGCGGAUUUCUUUUUUAGAGGAUUCUUCUUUUGAUCUUUCUCUUUCAACUUGACCUAACUGUUCGUUGUAUUCUUGUUCUUCUUUCCCCGAGGUUUCUUUCCUGUUUGACUUCAUUUCUCUCGUUUCUUUAAUGGAUUCAAAGUCGUUUCUCUUCUACCCUAACCUGGUAGUGUUAGCGUGUGGUAUCUUUUGUUACUCAUAACCUCGUUGGUCUUACACUGGCCCUCAUUAACAAAGUGUCUAUUAAUAUAACGUGGAUCAAAAUGGCUAAACCACUGCUGAAGAUCUCAGCUUCUGUAACUUCGGGAAACGGCACUGCUGAAGAAAACUAUUAAUUUCCUUCACGAGAGAAGUAAACCUACGUCACUUUUCAGGUAAAUCGUCAUCAAGACACUUUACGUGAGUACACUACACCGAAGAGUCACAAUACCAUAAAACCCCUAAAUAUAUUCAUCAUUAUCAUAAGACAACCACGAACUCAAAGUUACGAGUUUUAACGUUUUUAUAAACUCAAAGUAACGAUUUUUUAGGUCAUGAAACAAUUAUGUUUAUCGUACGAACCUACGAAGUCACGAUUUGUAACGUCAUCGUGAAGUCAAAGUCAAGAUGUUUAAAGUCAUGAGACAAUCAUCUCACGAACCGACUAAAUCCCCACUUUUAACGUUAUCGAGAAGUCAAAGGGACUAUUUUGAUGUCUGAUACGAACCUUGCCGACAUGGACGUUAAAAACCCCACUCUUUGUCCGUACUGAUGUCCGGUGAUGGUUUAAACCCCGUUAAGUCUGAAGUAUCCUGAUCUCUUUCCUACCCUACACUACGUUGACGCCGUAGAACUGACUGUACCGUCGCUGCCACCGAGCUACAAUUGUGUUGCCGACGUCGAGCUGUCACUCCGCCGCCGCCGAGGCAACCUACAUUGCGCCGUUACCGCCGCCGCCGAGGCAACCUACAUUGCGCCGCUACCGCCGCCGCCAAACUGCCGCUGCGUCACCGACGUCGAGCUAUCGUUGCUCCUGCGUAGUCGAACUACUAGCCGAUGAAAAGAUUGGGUACGCCACUACUGGAAUGUAGGAGUGACGAUGUUAAAAACCGCGCUCGUCUAAGUCUCAUAUCACUUUGUUCGUUCAACCACCCCAUC
rnacentral:rRNA from 1 species